GACGAACGCUGGCGGCGUGCUUAACACAUGCAAGUCGAACGGAAAGGCCCUGCUUUUGUGGGGUGCUCGAGUGGCGAACGGGUGAGUAACACGUGAGUAACCUGCCCUUGACUUUGGGAUAACUUCAGGAAACUGGGGCUAAUACCGGAUAGGAGCUCCUGCUGCAUGGUGGGGGUUGGAAAGUUUCGGCGGGUGGGGAUGGACUCGCGGCUUAUCAGCUUGUUGGUGGGGUAGUGGCUUACCAAGGCUUUAACGGGUAGCCGGCCUGCGAGGGUGACCGGCCUCAUUGGGACUGCGAUACGGCCCUGGCUCCUGCGGUAGUCAGCUGUUGGGACUAUUACUCCAUGUGCGGAUGCCUGAUGCAGCAACGCCGCGUUCGGGAUGACUGCCUUCGGGUUGUAACCCGCUUUCGCCUGUGGCGCAGCGUGUGUGACGGUAGUGGGUCCAGAAGCACCGGCUAGCUUCGUG
rnacentral:rRNA from 1 species